GGAUGGUGUUUUGCUGGGGUGAACAGGUGAAGGAACAUUUCAUUAAAGCAGACACAGAAGAGUGGAUGUUCUGCUAAAGCAAGCGUGUGAGAGGAUAUGUGAUGAAAGGUCAGAUCACCGCUGUUGGUGACCCACCUCUACUGAACAGGACUGCUGGUAUAGCCACGAAGUGUCUGUGAAUGGAUCGAGCUACUGGCGGACUGAACUGCUGAUUUCCAGAUGACACAGUUGGGAAGUUGCUCCAGGGAACCUUUCUGGACAGGUCCAUGUCCCCUUUCUCUAAUGAGAAAGAAUUCUCAUUAGAAUCUCAAAUGGCUGAAAACACAUAAAGAAAUGUUCAACAUCCUUAGCCAGAGAAACGCAUAUCAAAACUGCUUUGAGAUUCCAUCUGUUAGAAUGACUAAGAUCAAAAACACAAAUGAGACUCCAUGCUUGGGAAGAUGGGGAGCAAGGGGACCACUCCUCCAUUGCUAAUGAGAGCGAAAACUUGUACAGCCACCAUUGAAAUCAAUAUGGCAGUUUCUCAGAAAACUGGGACUCAAUCUUCCUAUCUUUUGGACAUAUAACCAAAAGAUGACCCAUCGGACUCACAGGACACUUGCCCAACUGUGUUCAUAGUGGCUUUAUUCAUAAUAGCCAGAAAUCAGAAACAAUCUAGAUGUCCUUCAACCAAAGAAUGGAUAAAGAACAUAUGGCAUAUUUACAUAAUAGAAUUUUACUCAGCUUUUAUGGAAAAAAUGACAUCAUGAAAUUUGCAGGCAAAUAGAUGGAACUAGAAAAAAACCAUCCUGAGUGAGGUAACCCAGACCUAGAAAGACAAACAUUAUAUGUGCUCAUUUAUAAGUGGAUAUUAGCUCUUAUGUAAAAAAAAUCACAGUACAAUCCAUAGGUCCAGAAAAGUUAAGUAAAGAGAAGUCUAGGAGAAGAAGCAUGGAUCUCCCUGGGAAGAGGAAAUCAGAUAGAUUUUGCGGGUGGGUUGAGGGCAGGUAGAGAUGAGAACAGGAGCAAUCAGGCUGGGGAGGGAGGAACCAAGGAAGAGAAUAUGAAGAGAGAUUCUGGGGAUAGGUGGGUAUUUAGGGGACUAUGUGAAAACCUAGUAGAGGUGAACCUUUUGGAGCCUAUGAGGGUGACCCUAAUGAAGAAUCCUGGUAAUAGAGGAGGUGGAGCCCAAACUGACCAUCUUCUUUAGCCAGGCUAGGCUCCUAUUGGUGGGACUAAGGCAGCAACUCAGCCAUGAAAUCAAUGACCCACAACUUGUUAUGUCUGCAAGAUAUACUGGGGCAUUGGUGGCUCAGAGCUUGUGAGAGUGGCCAACCAAUGACUGAUCUAACCUGAGGUCCACACCACAAGAGGGAGCCGUGCCCAACACUGCCUGCAUGGACAGGAUGUAGGUGCCUCAUAGACCCAAGGUAGAACCAAAUGUGACUGACCUCCCUCCAAAGUCAACCAAAAGAUUCCUAAUGAUGUUCUGCUAUGCUUAAAGAUUGGUGCCUAACCCAACCAUUAUCAGACAGGGAAGGAAGUAUCUCCCAGUGAAGAGGAAAUAGAAUAUAUAAUUAGUUAAGAGACAGAGGGAUCUUGGAAAUGGUGGAUUAAAUGAGAAAGGAGAGGAAAGUGUGGGGAGGGUAAGAGAGGGACUACAAGGAGGGACAAGUAACACCAAGACAUUUGAAGGGUCCUAUGGAAACCUACUUCUGUUGAAGCAUCUUAAAAUAUAUACAUGUAUGAGGGAAAUCUAAACAAAGUCACUGAACAAUUGAGAGAGACAAUGCUCCAACUAGAUAUCCUUUGCCACUAAGUGAAACUUCUGUGCCAGGAACGGGUUAUAUAAAAUUAAGUUGUUGGCCACAGAAACCCCAAACAACUCAGGUUAUUAUCAAGGCUGUCGGUUGCACUCUGCAGCCUGAUAGCAAAGCAAUGCUCUAUUGCUAAAGACAACAUGUAUAGUCCAUUGAACGUAGAGAAGUUGACCUGAGGCCUAACUAGGACCUUCAGUCCUACUGACUGGUGCUCAAGGUAUUGGAAGGUUUUCUGCAUGCUACCAGAGGAGAAAGGUAAUGGUCAAUCCAGCCUUAAACCUGUAAUCUACAGUCUGCCUGCUUUAUAGACUGGUGCGAUCGUGGCACAAAUGUUGUCCGAGUAACCAGCCACUCUCUAAUUGGAUUUAAGCCCCACUCCUUGAGAUGGGACCCAUACCCAAAAUUGUUCAGGUGGCCAAGAACCUGAGAGUAGGUAGGCCAUGAGUCUAGAGGAAAACCAAGUGCUAAUCAUUAUGCUAAAAGUACAUCGCAAUAAAAGGACCCAUGACAUUCUGCUGUACCUGUAGAUCAGUGCCUUCCUCAGCCAUCAUCACAGAAGCUUCUUUAUACAGUAAAUGGGAACCAUUGCGGAUAUCCACAGCCUGACAAUGUGCAGAGGGUCAGAGAUUUUGAAACACUCAGUCCUAAAUGGGAUGUUUCUACCAACUCCUUUCCCGGGUCUCAGGGAGCUACGUGGAAGAGGUGGCAAACUGUAGGAGCCAGAGGGAAUAGAGGACCACAAAGAAACAGUGUCCUCCAGAUAGGAUAAAUAUGAUGCAUUUAUGAACUCAUAGAGACUGUGGCUGUAUGUACAGGGCCUGCAUAGGUUCAAGAAAUAUGGGAUCCUAGAACUAAGAGGGAGCAAGUAGACAAGGGCCCCCAGCUCUAACCGAGAUGCUCUCUGAAGCCCACACUUGUUUGGAAAGGAAAAACUAGUCUUCUCUUAUGGAGUCUCGCUGGGUAUGUUAGCCACACUGCAGGCUAGGCCUCAUGCCAAGGAGUAAUUGGUCAACACAAAAUGAACUCAAUGGUAUUUUUGUAGAGUUUUUAAUUUCUCUAUUGCUUUAAUUGCAUUUUUGUUUUAUUCAUCUUUUUGCUUAUCUAUCUUGGUUUCCAUUUUUUGUUUAUGUGGGCUUAUGUGUGUGAGAGAGAAUUUCUUUUGCUGUUAUUCUUUAUUUGUUUCGGUUGGGUUUUUGUUGUUUUUUUUAAAGCGAGAGAAUGAAGGGAUGUUGAGCUGGGUGCCUGGGGAGGUGGGGAGAAUCUGCAAGGAGUUGGAGAGGAGAGUAUAAUCAGGGUAUAUUGUUUGAGAUACUCCUUUUCAAUAUGAACCAGGACCAAAACUGUUAAUACUUAGAAAGUAAAACUAUUCGGUAAUAACUGAAAAUGCUCAGGAAAAAAAAUAUUGGGUCCACGCAAGAUUUUAUUACAAUGUGGAAAAUGGGGUAGAACAUGGCACAGAAGCCAGGGUAUUGCGGAUAGUCCUUUCCCCUGCUGUAAAAAUAGAUAUUGCAGAAGGGCUCCAAAUAGAGGCUACAGCAGCUUCCUUUCUCACCACCCAGUGUGCAGCACCUAGACUCAGGAGAGGUACCCUGUUCACACACUAGAAGUUUUAUCUCUUCUUUGACAUUCUCUGAGGUAAAAUAAAACCUGUUCCUGAAUGUCUAUGUUAGGUGCUUGUCUUGUUGCUAAGCUCAAACACCAGACAAAAGAAGCAGGAGGAAGGGAGGGCUUGCUUUGGCUUCCAGUUAGAGGGGAUACAUUAUUUCACGUGGGAAAGGCACAGCAGUGGGAGGAGCAGGAGGCUAGCUGGUCACAUUGUGUCCACAGUUAAGAAAGGAAGAAUCACAAUCCUCACACUCAGCGUUUUUUCUCCUUUUUAUUCAGGACCCCAGACCCUGGAAUUUGGAUAGCGCUGUCCCUCUAAUUAGAAGUUGCUCUGUCAUUCCCAGAGCUUUGUCUUUCACGCACCUGUGGAGCUGUGACUUUGAUAAUCGUUAUAAAACCACCACAGUCUCUAAUCAGUUAAUAUAUGGGUUCUGGCAUCAUGCCCUCUGUAAAAUAACUUGCGUUCACCUGAAGUCUACUCUCCUCAAUUUACUUAAAUUUAUCUCCAAAAUGCUGAGAUAUGGAGGUGUGAGGUGAUAAAUCCCCCUUUCCCUCCCUCUUUCACGGGAGUCUUGCUAUACAGCCCAGGCGGGCCCCAAGCUUGCAUUCCUCCUGUCUUAGGUUCCUGGGUGCUGAAAUAACAGAUGUGUGGUAUGUUACAUUGCCCAGUUUAGAAGACCUACUUUCAAGCAUUCACCUGGGAUGACAAACGUAUUUUGUAAAAAUAAGUGCCAUUUUUAUGCGAGGUAAUUAUGUAUUCUUCCAGAGAGUUGCUAAUUAUAUAAUGUUCUGAGGUUCAGUGUGAUGUUUCAGUACAUUUAUACAUAACAUAUUGAUCAACACGGGAGAUUUAGGUUAGCCAUCACCCCAAGCAGUUAUUAUAUCUUUGAAAUGAGAGCAUUAAAAAAAACCUUUUCCAGCUAUUUUUAAUAGCUGACAUAAUAAUAUUACUAUAGCCACCCACCUGGAACACCAGACCUCCUGUCUGGAUGUUCUGUGUCUGUUAACCACCCUUGAACUUUCUGACCACUCCUCACCUUUGGUAAUUACUGUUUCCCUUCUGUGAGCUCAGGGUUCCUUGAUUCUUCAUAGGAGAGAAAUCACAAUGUAUUUGUCUUUCUGCAACUGGUUUGUCUCACUUAGCACCGUAAUCUUUGGUCUUAUCCAGGGUGCUGCAAGAGACAGUUGUUUUGUGUGACUGGCAUGCCACGGCACACAGACAUUUUCUUUGUCCGCUGGCUUAUCAAUAGACACCUGGAUUAAUCCAUAUCUUUACUAUUGUGACAGGAGAUCAGAGUCUCCUUCAUAUGAUGGCUUUCUUCAGUUACAUGUUCAGAAGUGGGAUAACUGGAUCACUUAAUCUUUUUGUUGUUGUUGUUCUUUUGUUGUUUGUCCUUAUGACUCUCCUUACAGUUUUCCACAAUGGUUGGGUUAUGUAGAUCGGCACUAAGUCUGUAAGAGCUCCCCUCUCUACGCCUCCAGCAGCUUAUCACUUCUCUCUGUGAUUAUAGUCAUCUAAUAGGAAUCAGAUACAUUGUUGUGAACUGGAUUUGCAUUUCCCCCUGAUUAGAUGCUGGCUGACCAUGCUUUCUGAUACUUGUUUAACACGUAUCUCUUCCCUUGAUAAAUACCUUUUCCGGUAAUUUUCCCACUUUUAAGUUGGGUUAUUUGGUUCUUUUUAUUAAGUUUUACAUAUUAUGGUAUCAAUCUCCUGUCAGAUGAAUACUUUGCAAAUGUAUCCCCCAUUCUGUAAGCAUUUCUUUAAUCUGUUGGGGUUUUUUUGUUUUUUUUUUCCCAUUUGGUUUGCUACAGAUCAGCCUAUGGUUUGAUUUAUUGCCAUGUGUCUGGUUUUUUUGGUUUUGUUAUCUGUGUCUUUACAUCUUGUGUGUGUGCAGUUAGUGCAGACCAAUGGUCAACUGUGGAUGUCAUUCCUCAGGAGCUGCCACAAAGUCCCUAAUUUGGUCUAGAACUCAUCAAAGCCAGGUUGAUGGUGCACAACUAUAAUACCAGAACUCAGGAGGCAGAGGCAGAAGGGCAUGAAUUUGAGGCCAGGGUAGGCAACACUCUGUCUCAAACAAGUAAACUUACUACAUCUAAAAUAAUUCUCGACUGCACAGGGAACAUUCUUCAGAAUGAACCUGUAUGUUGGGUCAUAAAACAAGUCUUAUUUUUUCAGAAGAUUUAAAUCCUAUAAGUAAUUUUUCUGCUCACAGUGGACUAAAACUAGCAAUUAGUAAUAGAGGAAAUGGUGCAAACCGUGGAAAUUGAGCAGUACACUUUUGAAUGACCGAUGGGUCAAUGAAGAAAUUAAAAAGGAUAUUUAAUAUUUUUGACGUAGAAAUCGGAACACAGCAAGGCAAUGUAAAAAAGCAAAGUCAACAGCAGUAGACAACCAGAUAGGGAAACUCAGGAAAACAUCAAAUUAAUUAACAUCCCACCUCAAGAAAUUAGAAAAGGAAACGGAAAUAAAACCCAAAACCAGUAAAGGAAGAAAAAGAAAAUAAAGAAUGAGCAAAAAUAAACAAAACAAAGACUUUAGAAUACAAAGAAUAAUUUAGAAUAUAAAGAAUAAUAAAGUGUAGAACUUGAGUUUGAACAAGAAAACAAAACCAAAAACCCUUUAGUUAAAGUAAGAAGAGAGAGAGAGAGAGAGAGAGAGAGAGAGAGAGAGAGGGAGAGAGAGAGAGAGAGAGAGAGAUUCAGAUACCAACUAAAGAGUUGUGGAUGAUGCUGUACUCCUGAGAUGGAGGCGGCCAGAUGAGGCAUUCAAGGCUGGUACCUAACUAUGACCGAAAGAGGAAACGUUACCACAGAGAUGGAGAUGCUGGAAACGUAAGCUGAGAGUUGGUAGAGUGAGACUCUGGGACUGGCUUGGGCCUUUGAAACCUCACUUCCUCCAAGGGCACACCUUCUAAUCCUUUCAAAUAGUGCCUGUAACUUUAAUAUUUUCAAGUCCUAUUUUUUAUUCUAUUUAUUGGAUAUUUUUUAUUUAUACUUCAAAUUUUUUUAUUUAUACUUCCCCCCCACCCAACCACACACUCCUUCCUUCCUUCCCGCCCUGACAUUCCCCUACACUGGGGGAUCCAGUCUUGGCAGAACCAAGGGCUUCUCCUCCCAUUGGUGCCCGACAAGGCCAUCCUCUGCUACAUAUGCAGCUGGAGCCAUGGGUCUGUCCACAUGUACUCUGGUUGGUGGUUUAGUCCCUGGGAGCUCUGGUUGGUUGGUAUUGUUGUUCUUAUGGGGUUGAAAACCCCUUCAGCUCCUUCAAUCCUUCCUCUAACUCCUUCAAUGAGGACCCUGUUCUCAGUUCAGUGGUUGGCUGUGAGCAUCUGCCUCUGUAUUUGUCUCUAGCAGAGCUUCUCAGGAGACAGCUAUAUCAGGCUCCUGUCAGCAUGCACUUCUUGGCAUCCGCAAUAUUGUCUGGGUUUGGUGGCUGUGUAUAUAUGGGCUGGACUCCAGGUGGGGCAGACUCUGAAUGGCCAUUCCUUCAGUCUCUGCUUCAGACUUUGUCUCCACAUCUCCGAUCUCCUCCUAUUGAAUAUUUUUGUUCCACAUUCUAAGGCCUGAAGCAUCCACACUUUGGCUGUCCUUUAGUUUCAUGUGGUCUGUGGAUUGUAUCUUGGGUGAUCUGAGUUUUUGGGCUAAUAUCCACUUAUCAGUGAGUGUCAAAUCCUAUUUUUAACGAUGGUUCUUAAACACCUGAACCUUCCUUGUAGCCCAACACCCACCAGAGGUAGAAGGAAAGAAACAACACAGGGAAAGUGGACCGGUUUAGAAAUGGUUCUUUGCAGCAAACCCUAUCUGUGUUGUCAGGAAAUCAACAGUUCAGUUCACAGGAACCAGCAGCAGCAGCUCGAUCCACUUGCAAACACUUCACGGAUACACCAGCAGAACAAUUUGGUGGAAUUGGGAUGGCAAACAGAAAUUAGUAAUGGUAGCACUACUUAGCAGAGACAGCCAGGACUUGGCCUUGGCUUGAGUCAGCAGGGGGGACCUGGAGGCAUGCUGGGAUCUCUCAGUGAAGUGAAGAUCAGCAAAGACACGAGACCACAAGCUUUGAACAGCUAGCUUUAUAAGCAAGUCAAGCUCAGCCUCCAUCAAUGUCACCCUCCAAUCAUCACGUGACCUCCACAGGUCUUGCCUCAGCACGUCUUCUGUCUCAGCUGACAUGAUUCUGUCAAUCAGCCCAGGUCUGAAGAAAUGGUGAGAAGCCUCAACGCAUCACCACAAGGUUUUUGGUGCAUUUCUCUCUAUGGAGUCCUAACAAAUGUAGCUCAACUAUGCAAUGUAAGGCAGACCAACACAUACGUGUUGUUAGCAAAGAAUCCUUUAUCACGUGUCCUUUCACGUGCUUGCUUUAGCAGAACAUCCUUUCUCCUGUGUCUGCUUCAGCAAAAUGUUUCUUCACGAGUCUGUCUUAGCCUUCCACCUGUGUCCACUUCAGGAAAAUGUUCCUCCACAUGUUCGUCCCAGCAUAACACCAUCCAAUACUGUUGACUUUCCAAAGAACCCUUAAGUUUCUUCUUCAAGUGCCAGCCCCUGGUAACCAAGAAUUCAAAUCUAUGAGUCUGUGGGAUGUUCUUAUUCAAACAACCACAUAGGGUCUCCAUAUGUAGCCCUGACUGGCCUGGAACUCUGUGUAAAUCAGUCUGGUGGUUUGUUUGGUUGUUUGGUUUUUGUUUUUGUUCUUUGAGACAGGGUCUGGAGAUGGGAGCCCCAGCCUUAGCCUCCCAAAUACACCAGCAUAAUUGGCUUUUAUUCUCGUUUUUGAAAGACACAAAGCACAACUCCUUUUGUUUGUGUCUCUUGGUUCCUACAUUUAAUUUCUCAUUUGUAAUUACAUUUUUAAUCUCUCAAUUUUUUUCUUUGAUCUUUCUUUUAUAUUUUGUGUAUCGUCAAGGCCUGAAUCUGGUGCCAGCAAGCACACACAGCUAUCCUCACUUUCUUAACAUGCUGGGUAUUAACAAUCAUGGUAGGUUCUCCUUUUGGCUAUAACCUGUUCUAGCCUUGCUUACUAUAUAUUGCAGCCUUGAGCAAUCUUUUCAAAAGCAUCUUGCCUGCCACGUUUUCUAAGAUUUGAGGCUGUCUCUCCAUAUUUCUCCAUACACGUAGCCCCAUACACAUGGCCCAACGUGGUCAGCUUCUCCUGAGUAGCAGUUGUCCUUUGCCUAGAAGAUGUCCCCCUAUCUCAUCUCGGAUUGAUCACUGCGGUGGAAAAAGUCGCAGCCACGUCCAUAGUUUGUUCCAUGAAAAUGAUCUACUUCUUUUCUGCUUGGAAACUUGCAGAAUUCUCCCUUCCCUCUUGUGCUUUAAAUUUUUAUGAAACUAUGUUAUGGUGUUGCUUUUACUAUCGAUUCUUCCUGAAACUUUGGUAGCACCCUUGUUACUUCUUUUUUCACCCCCAAAGUAUUCACCCCCAAAUCUGAGAACUGAUUCUGAUCUUCUUGUCUGUGUCCACCACUCUUGGAAACUUCCUUCGUAAAUUUGGUCUCUAAAUUUAACAAGUUCUGAUGAAUCUUACUUUUUACUUCCCUUUCAUCCUGGAUAGCGUAAGUACAAAUGCAGAAGGGUAAACAAAUUCUUUUAAUAUAAGUAAUAUACACACUGACUGUCAACCGGGAGGCCCCUUCAAUGAACACAGGUUGACAAUCCUAUCUGGCUAAACCAGGAAUGGUAUGAACUAUUCCGACCAUUUUGCAGAGUGAAGGAUUUACAGGUUUCCAGAAAGGUACAGAAAGUGGUGGGCCACUGCAGCUAAACACAGUGUUUGGAAUCUGCCACAGGUCUCGCACCUCUCCAGUCUUGCAAUAAUUCUUCAUAUGAUGGUCAGAGAGGCGAUUAGAAGGCAAAUGUGGAUAAAUUCUUCUCGUGAGGAGCUCACCCAAGAGGACUCGAGGUUGUGCCCCGUGUGUAAACCAUGGGGAAAUCAUGCACAUGCAGGUAAGGACCCUGGCCUAAACCGCCAGCUCACCCAUCUUCUCAGCCCGCCCUCCAGUACCACAGCCCUGCCGGAGACCAUCUAUUCCUUACCUGCUGACUGGACUUUCUUCACAUAAGAACCCCAGAGUGGCACUGCUAAGUCUAACCCAUGCCUGCAGCCUACCAAAGACUUUCUUUCACAAUGGACUGUGAUGUGGAUGUGGUCUCUCUGCUCCAACUCCAGCUGCCAUGCCGGCUGCUUGCCACCAUGCCUCCCACCAAGAUGGAUUCUGCUCCCUCGGGACCUGAAAACCAAAAGAAACGCUUUUUCCCGAUCUCAGGACACUCAGACGCUGGUGACAAAUAUGAGGAAAGGAGCCCCUCGAGAUGAAAACCUUAGAAGACAGAGGGAUUGGACCCUUGAAACAGGCGUGGUGUCUGCAGGCAAAGAAGCUGCUAGGAUUUGCCAACCACACAGGAAGCUAAGUUGUGUGAGGAGGCUCACAGGUUUAUUGUCAAAAGAAAAAUAAAAUGUGGAUUCAGGCUCA